AUGACGGCGACGUCGACGUCGAGGGCUCCGCGGCGGCCCCGCAUCCGCUCCCGCGCGCCGCCGCCCACGCCGAUCCGGACGGCCCGCGGCGCGCGCUCCGCCGCGGCCGACGAGCUCGUCCUCGCCGAGUUCCUCGAGGCCUCCCAGCGCGUCCCCGCCCUCACCCUGCCCCUGCCCAGGAAGAAGCGCUUCGACUUCCCGGCUCCCCCGCCGGCCCCGGACGUCCCCUCGCAGGGCCUGCUGUCGGGCGAGGCGCCCGCCGCGCGGACGGCGGUCGGCGCCGCCGCGGAGGCCGGCGCGUUCCGCGUUGGCGGGGCGGUCGGGGCCGGCGAGGUGCGCGCCGCCGUGGAGGCCGCGGAGACGGUGUUCGGGGCGCCGGAGGGGGUGAAGCGGGAGCUUGGGAGGUUGUUCCAGAGGAGGGAUCGGGUGGUCGGGGAGGAGCUCUACUUGCCCUGGCCGGUGAGCUCGGAGGUGGAUCGGUUGCUCGAGGCGGCCCUGCCCGGCUCGACGUACCGAGCGUUCAGGGAGAAGAUGGACGUUGUCGCGUCUAAAAUGGAGGGUCUCGCAAGAUGUGUGGUCAGGGUUCUAUCUCACAACGUCAAGAACCCGAAAGACUCUGCUCUGCCUAGAGAAGCCCCAUCGGUUCUCUGUCUAACACUGUAUAACUGCAACAAGUUGAAAACACGUUGGGGAGAGUUUGGCGCCACCGAUCGUCCGGACUCGUACGCCCUGAGCGUGCACCUCUCCGGACGCGACCAGGAAAUUUGCCUCCGGAACCAGGGCGGGUCGACCUUUUUCAAUCUGCCGGCUGGCUCUGCGCUUGUUACAGUCGGCAAGCAGAUUCAGGAAUGGUCGAGUGGGGAGUUCAAGAGGGCUGUUGGAGAGAUACUAUUUGAGCUGACCGACGAACCAAACCCGUUCAUGUCUCUGGAACUCUUGUACUCUCCAGGAGACCUGCGCCUCUGUGAGGUCGGGCGGCACGCUAGCUGCAUUGACCGUCCUCCCAAGACUGUUCCUUUGAGGGACCAGAUUUUCAUUGCGCUGCUUCUGCUGGUUUUGUACUACCUCUUCUGGUGA
rnacentral:rRNA from 1 species